UAAAAUUAAUAAAUCAUUCUAUUAAAGUGAUAAGAAAAUAGAAAAGUUUAAAAAAGAUAUUUUAAAGACAAAUCAGUAAAUUUAAAUUGAAAUAGUGACAAAUAUUAAAUGCGACCCUUAUCCAUGAUGUUUGAGGUUAAACUCGUUUAAGCUUAAACUUUCGAGAAGUGUCUCGUUAAAACUUCUCAUAAGUGUAUAACUGCAUAACUGACGACUUAAAGUCAUUUUGAAAUUGAUUCUCAAUUCUGUGAAAAAAUCGUCCUGUUUUUCUCACUCAAAUCGUAAAUUAAAUUGCCUUCCUCAACACCAAGUCAUUCGUUCUGAAACGAGGGGAUAAGUUUUAAGUGAAUGGAUUCGAAUCAAAAAUAGUGAAUGUGUAUAUAGAAAGAUCAUAGUUAAGAGAAGUUAUAUCUUAUUAAGAAUUAUACCCAUUCGCGAUAGGCACACAGCGAAUAAAUAUCAUAUCACUCAACGAUCAAUUUCCUACAAUGAAUGUAACAAUUUAGAAUGAAAUACCGGACUAAGCAUGUGUUUCCUCGCCUUUCCUAAUAUUCGCCCGCUAAUUAGCGCAAUAUCACGCGCCCAUUAUUCACAAGAGAAGCUCUGUUGCGAAUCCAUCAUGACUAUUGGGCCUUGACCUGGAUGAACGCUUAAUGAUUGUUGCCAGAAUGCAAGAUCCCCUUGCGAUUUUGUAUGUGCGCGAUCUUAAUGGACGAUAUGGUGAAAAUUUGAUGAGGAAAACCGAAUGGAAAAAGAAAGUUUCGGAUUCUCGGAUAAAUAAAUUAAACACGUUUCAGUACGGAUGUGCAAACUGUGGUUUCUAAUUACAGCUUGUUAAAAAGUUUUCUCUCUCUUGUAAUUUGGCAACUGAGUGGAGCAACGUGUUGAGUAA